GAUGAACGCUAGCGGCAGGCUUAACACAUGCAAGUCGAGGGGCAGCACGUCUUCGGAUGGUGGCGACCGGCGCACGGGUGAGUAACGCGUAUGCAAUCUACCUUUUACAGGGGCAUAGCCCGGGGAAACCCGGAUUAAUAUCCCAUGGUACCCUGAUAUAGCAUUAUAUUAUGGUUAAAGCUUCGGCGGUAAAAGAUGAGCAUGCGUCCUAUUAGCUAGAUGGUAAGGUAACGGCUUACCAUGGCUAUGAUAGGUAGGGGUCCUGAGAGGGAGACCCCCCACACUGGUACUGAGACACGGACCAGACUCCUACGGGAGGCAGCAGUGAGGAAUAUUGGACAAUGGGCGAGAGCCUGAUCCAGCCAUGCCGCGUGCAGGAAGACGGCCCUAUGGGUUGUAAACUGCUUUUAUACGGGAAGAAACACCCCUUCGUGAAGGGGGCUUGACGGUACCGUAUGAAUAAGGAUCGGCUAACUCCGUGCCAGCAGCCGCGGUAAUACGGAGGA
rnacentral:rRNA from 1 species